CUCUAUCCACUGAGCCAAACCAGCUGGGGCUGUAGCUUUUUAAAAAAUGUUUUCUAAAAGGACUGUUUCAGCAUUUUUAAAAACAGAACAUUUAAGUAUCUUUCUUGAAGCAGGCUCAGCCAUCUUAGUGUUUUCUACAUGAAGCAGUGAGUGUGAGACUGAACCUAGAAUCUGGCGUGUGAGUCGGGAGGCACGGUGGUGGCCUGGACCUGGCGGAGCGCGCUGUGGGGACGCCAGGCCACCGCUCCGGGUGGCAGUUCUCACGGGCCAUGAAGAGAGGCCAGUGCGGAGAGCCCGGGAGGCUCCACACAGCGCACACGGAGCUUUUCCGACGGGGUGUGUCAUGGGCACGCGUGUCCAUGGGGCUGGCUGUCCCUGAGCGGCUGGGCAUGGUCCCUCCUGUUUCUUUAUUAAAUUGUUUCCCACGGACGUAGCUUGAACAUCGGUCAUGGGAGGCGCUGGUCCCUCGGGAGGGCGUCCCCUGGGGAUGUGCAGAUGGCAGGUGGACGCCUCUGAGACGUGUGGUGCACGUGCUGAUUGGAAGUGUCGUGUGCGGACGGCAUGGUGUGCGGUGCUGGGAGCGGGCAGUGGGGUUUCUCCCCAAGGCCGUCCCGUUCUGUAACGGGGAUUCAGGGCCCUGUGGCUGUUGGGGUUCCAUCCCAACCAUCCUGGAGCGUGUUCCGCGUCUCAGGAGCUGCCAUGUUUUCUGGGGUUCCUGGAAGCAACAGGCGUGUUAACAGACAUUUCAAGAUCAUGUAAUAAAUGCUAAGACAGAGCGAUGGGUUGUGGGGGGCCGGCUGGGGUGCUGGUGUGGGAGGGAGGCCGAGGCCCAGGGGAGGCGGCCUGGAGCGGGCAAUGGGACUGGGGGUGGGAGCGGGUCCGCGUCAGCCCCGGGACCACGGGCGUUCGUCCCUCCGAGCCAGGCCGCUGCCGUCCACCCUCUCACCCGCCACCUUCGUCUCUUCUCUUUCACGUUUACCAACUCCCACGCUCGUUCCGGCCGGUUCUUCUGCUGUUGUUCGGUUUCCUUUCAUUUCAUUUAUUUUGCUGUAUCUUUUGUCUCUGAUUUGAGGUCUUGGCUUUCAUGGUGCCCAAGCUGGCCCAUUAGCCCAGUGACCAGUGGGUGGGCGUUGGGCAGAAGGGCCAGGUGGACACCCAGCACGUGGCGGUGUGGUUUGGGUCCCAGCUCACACAGUCCACUUCCCAGACGCAGAGGAACGCACGGCUGAUUACACCAACAGGACUGUUAAGGCCCCCGCUGCCUGCCUUUGUGUCCGGACGCGUCGUGUUUUCUCCCCUCCCGUCCUUGGGGGGCGUUUGGAAACGGUUUGGCAGAGGAAGUGUGCUUUGUUUUGAAGUUGCCGGUUCCCGCCCGCGUUCCCAGGGCGCCUGUGUUCCCAGCGUGUGAAUUGCAGGAUGUGUCCGGGGUCCUCCCUCCCGCAGACCCCCGAGCGCGCGGGCUGUUCUGGGAAAUUUCAUCCAGGGCCUCUGAAAUCCCAGCUGAACGCUGUCACCGGCUGAACAGGAAACAGAUCAAUAAAAAGAUGUUAAAAAAAGAAAAGAAAAAUGAAGAACCACGAAGGACUGCAGUGGCCACAUCCACCCGCCUGACCUGCUUUGAGUCCCGUGGGAUUUGGCCUCGAUAGCGUCAGAAAGGCCCAUCGUAGACUCGGGAGAGCCGUCCCCGCGGCUCAGGAACCCGGACCCUCUUCUCGGGCCCGAUGCGCAGGCCCUGGGCCGUGCAGUCCCGCUGAGGCCGCAGCUCCUUAGCCCAGACCCGGCCCCUGUCUGGUCCGUCCACACAUCACCUGCCUCUUUGAAAAGAUUAAACACUUCUGUAUUUUGUUUGUCCAGAGA